rnacentral:rRNA from 1 species
GCAGGCGCGAAACCUUUACACUGUACGCAAGUGCGAUAAGGGGACUCCGAGUGUGAAGGCAUAGAGCCUUCACUUUUGUACACCGUAAGGUGGUGUACGAAUAAGGGCUGGGCAAGACCGGUGCCAGCCGCCGCGGUAAUACCGGCAGCCCGAGUGAUGGCCGAUAUUAUUGGGCCUAAAGCGUCCGUAGCUGGCCGGACAAGUCCGUUGGGAAAUCUGUUCGCUUAACGAGCAGGCGUCCAGCGGAAACUGUUCGGCUUGGGACCGGAAGACCUGAGGGGUACGUCCGGGGUAGGAGUGAAAUCCUGUAAUCCUGGACGGACCACCGGUGGCGAAAGCGCCUCAGGAGGACGGAUCCGACAGUGAGGGACGAAAGCUAGGGUCUCGAACCGGAUUUGAUACCCGGGUAGUCCUAGCUGUAAACGAUGCCCGCUAGGUGUGGCGCAGGCUACGAGCCUGCGCUGUGCCGUAGGGAAGCCGAGAAGCGGGCCGCCUGGGAAGUACGUCUGCAAGGAUGAAACUUAAAGGAAUUGGCGGGGGAGCACUACAACCGGAGGAGCCUGCGGUUUAAUUGGAUUCAACGCCGG